AGCGUAGACGGCAAGGCAAGUCUGAUGUGAAAACCCAGGGCUUAACCCUGGGACUGCAUUGGAAACUGUCUGGCUCGAGUGCCGGAGAGGUAAGCGGAAUUCCUAGUGUAGCGGUGAAAUGCGUAGAUAUUAGGAAGAACACCAGUGGCGAAGGCGGCUUACUGGACGGUAACUGACGUUGAGGCUCGAAAGCGUGGGGAGCGAACAG
rnacentral:rRNA from 1 species